AGCUCUGUGUUCUGUUCUCAGUCAUGGCUCAGCACCCAACCCAGAGGCCUGAGCUCCUUCAGACACCUUCAGCUGUGCACUCUUUCAUGGAACCAAUAGUCAUGGAAGAUGAUUUUUCUGUCUAGUUCAACACUUAGUUUCCUGCUGAAGACCAAGGCGUGGAAGCAUUCCAGAAGAUGGCUGAAUGUUCCAUCUCAGCUAAGGGGCACAGAGAUUUGACAAAAGAAGAAUUUCACGAUAGUCAAAUUCCAGAAAGCAGAGGUUAGGAAGUCAUAGAUGACACAAAUGCAUCCUUUGAAAAUGCAAAAAUGUGCAACUCUUUAAAAAGAGCUUAUGAUAAUGGAAUGGAAAUGAGUCAGAAA
ensembl:lncRNA